rnacentral:rRNA from 1 species
CACGUAGGGUGCGAGCGUUGUCCGGAAUUAUUGGGCGUAAAGAGCUCGUAGGCGGUGUGUCGCGUCGGCUGUGAAAACCCGGAGCUCAACUCCGGGCCUGCAGUCGAUACGGGCAAACUGGAGUGUUGCAGGGGAGACUGGAAUUCCUGGUGUAGCGGUGAAAUGCGCAGAUAUCAGGAGGAACACCGGUGGCGAAGGCGGGUCUCUGGGCAACAACUGACGCUGAGGAGCGAAAGCGUGGGGAGCGAACAGG